AUACGUAGGUGGCAAGCGUUGUCCGGAAUUAUUGGGCGUAAAGCGCAUGUAGGCGGUUUGGUAAGUCGGUCGUGAAAAUGCGGUGCUUAACGCCGUGUGGGGAUUGAAACUGCUGAACUUGAGUGCAGGAGAGGAAAGGGGCACUCCCAGUGUAGCGGUGAAAUGCGUAGAUAUUGGGAAGAACACCGGUGGCGAAGGCGCCUUUCUGGACUGUGUCUGACGCUCAGAUGCGAAAGCCAGGGUAGCGAACGGGAUUAGAUACCCCGGUAGUCCUGGCCGUAAACGAUGGGUACUAGGUGUGGGAGGUAUCGACUCCUUCCGUGCCGGAGUUAAAGCAAUAAGUACCCCGCCUGGGGAGUACGGCCGCAAGGCUUAAACUCAAAGGAAUUGGCGGGG
rnacentral:rRNA from 1 species